GAGGUGGCUGUUUGGAGGGUAGGAGGGAGGUAACGCCGCUGGGUCCUGCCAUCCCAUUUUACUGCUUAACUCAAUCUGGAGUGUGGGGACCUUCCUCUCCCUGCCUUCUUGCAUUAUACAGGGAGACCUGUCACUUCGUACGCCCUAGGCAGCCGGGCUGGGUGGAAUAAAGGGUUUGAGUGGACAGAAGGGUCUGUCCUGUACGGUGACUUUCUAAAAGACACUAUCAGUGUCUUCUGACAGUCCAGCUCCUAGAGUGGGAGGCGGAGAGCAGUCUUUGCCUAAUAAACCGCUGCUUUUCUGUCUUUUGGGGAUCACUAAUUUACCCCCUUCGGACCCCUCCCCGGCUUCUUCUGUCCCCUUUCGUCUUUAGGGAAUUGACACAGGCAACACCUGCCCGCUGGGGAUCUAUGUUGGAACUCGCACUUUCUCAGUGGUGAAGGUGCCAGAGUACUGGGGACAGAGGGGCAGAGGCGGUUUCCCCUUUUUUCCAGCCCACGAUGCCUAGAGGAGCAGCGGCUGGGCUGCGUGGGGCUUUGCCCACAGCUCUAGGUGGCGGGAUUGAGGGGCAGCGGCUGGUCAGGUGUUGCUGCUAAGUGGACUAGUCGCGAAGUCUCACGGAGGACACCAGCUGAGCCCCGUCUGCUAUCAGCGGGAAGGGGGCGCCUGAACCCGAGGAGGGUCUCGAGGUCUCGUGCGCCGAGGCCGCCGGCGCGCACAGCUCCUCCUCCUGCUCGCCGCUCCGAGCUUUUCCCGGCAACUGCUCGGCGUCGGGACCCGGACCUGCCGGAGCCCGGGGACUGGACAAGUACGCGGCGGAGGCUGCUUUCCUGAAGGUGAAUCACUCAGUCCACAUUGCCUUUCCCCAGAGAGCGAAAGGGAGGGCGGGAGAAGGAACGAACGAUAUGUGUGUGUGAGAGGGAGAGACGACUCGAGGCGAGAGGAAAAGUCUUAACUCCGCGUUCAGACCAAACAAAUCCGAGAUGGAAUAAAAGCGGUAACUGCUGCAAGACCGCCUGGACCCGCGCAUUCCGGGGAGCUGAGCGCGCGGUGCGCAGCCUGCAAGGACACCCGGCGACCGCGGGCGCUGGCGAGGCUGCGGGACUUUGCUGCCCCUCAGUCCCUUCAGCAAACGCAUCUUUUGGUUACUUUGACGCUGUGGCAUAGGGAGGAGGAUAACAGACGAGACUCAACGCACUCCGCCUCCCAUCUGCUCCCCCCUCUUUCCUUCCUUCCUUUUUAUUAUUAUUUUUCUUUUUUUGGUGAGGAAACUCCAGUUUGGAUGUUAAGAGAUUCCUGAAUUUGCCGUCAGACGAGGAAACACGCGCGCGCACACACACACGCACGCUCGGGGCACAUUCACACGCCCUCCACGAGCACACACCAUCCUCAGACUUGGGUUCCCUAUGCCCCUGAACGGUGACGGCGGAUCGGCGUCUUGGAAGCGAUGCAAGAACGGUAAGGCUGGCGCCCGCCCGCGACAGCUGCAGGAACAUCGCUAGGUGUUGCCGCCACCAGAAAGCCGGGCUGCAGGAUGAGUAAGAGAUACUUACAAAAAGCAACAAAAGGAAAACUACUCAUAAUAAUAUUUAUUGUAACCUUGUGGGGCAAAGUUGUAUCCAGUGCAAACCAUCACAAAGCUCACCAUGUUAAAACGGGCACUUGCGAGGUGGUGGCCCUCCACAGAUGCUGUAAUAAGAACAAGAUAGAAGAACGGUCACAAACAGUCAAGUGUUCCUGCUUCCCUGGGCAGGUGGCAGGCACCACAAGAGCUGCUCCAUCUUGUGUGGAUGCUUCAAUAGUGGAACAGAAAUGGUGGUGCCAUAUGCAGCCAUGUCUUGAGGGAGAGGAAUGUAAAGUUCUUCCAGAUCGAAAAGGAUGGAGCUGUUCCUCUGGGAAUAAAGUGAAAACAACUAGAGCAAACGUGUAAAACUCUUCAAGUUCGAAUGGAGAAGUAGAAAGAGAAGGUUUCUGCUGUGCCUGAUGACAAUUUUUGAUUUUUCCACAUUAAAAAAAAAAAUUCUGGCUCCUCGUUGGAGGUCUAGUGUGGCAAAUACUAGUACUGGUCGGAUUCUAAGGAAGGGACAGAAGUUUCGUUGAGGAAUAAAGAUUCAAAAGAACUGCAAAAAUGAGCUCCCAUCUCGAUUUAUUUCCCACAGAGCAGCAGGUAACCCAUUAACCAAGGAUAAAUCAAGUGAUCCUCAAGGCUUAUUACAUUGCACAUAUGCAGAGAAACUGAACUUCUGAGGUGAUCUUGAAGGAAAAGAUUUUUAUACUGUUCAGGAAGAGGAACUCUGGUGUCUUGUUUCCUAGGAUUUUCAUGGCUCACAAGCAGCCUCUUCUUGAAACCAAGGCUUAUUAAAAAAAAAAAAUCAAACAAACUUCUGUGUCAUGAACAUUUCAAAUCUGAACUGUGUUCAACUUGUAAAAUUGCACUUGCUGAAAGAAUUUGAAGUUGCUAUCUGAAGAGUUGGUGAACAGUUGGUAUUUCUGGAUGAUGACAGAGACAGUCACCUUUUGAGCACUUGGCUUUAAAUGUGACUGCUUUUCUUGUUUCUGAGCGUCCUCCACAUGCACUGGCUUUCUGUCAUGGAUGUGUUCCUUAGUCCGUCAUUCAUUGGCUAGUGUGACUGAACAAGGCUCUAGUGACAUUUACUUUGCGAACUUCUCUGGCAUGGUGUAUAGACUGAGACUAAUUUUAUUUGUACCUUAAUCUUGGAGAUCUGAAAGCCUACAUGUUUUAACAUCUUAAAGUUGCUUUUGUUAAUGGAAUAGAAAUAUAUAUCCAUUGAUAAUAAUUAUUGUUGGAAAGUAAUAGUUAUCUGACUACAUCAAUCAUAUAAGAAUGUAUAGACAAGCUGACAUGUUUCCCCAAGGCUAACACAUUACUUACUGCAGCUCUGUGUCAGUUAAAUAGAAAGUAGUUAGAACUGAAUUAACAUUUUCAUUAUAUACUAUUUUGUAACACUAGAAACCUCUCCCUUUCAGCUUUUUUUUUUUUAUGUGGGUUUUUCUUUUUUAUUGUUUAAAAGAUUUAUUUUCAUGAGAGAAAAACCAGAGUAGUAUUCAGCUUUGAGGUAUGGUAGUGCCAGGGAUUGGGCGUGAGAUACAUAAGGUCUCAGGCAUGCAACUCUGGUACACUACCAAGGUACAAUCUCCCCAACCUUUUUUCAUUUUUAUGUUUACUUUUUCCUUCUACAGAAGUCAGCAGUGAUUAGUCAAGUUCUUAGGUAGCCUUCAGUUUCAAAAAAAAAUUGACAGGGACGCAUGUAGAUUUCUUAGCUUUUUUUUUUUAACUUCCUUUGUAUCUCAUUUUAAAAGACUGUCUCUUGCUUGAUCACGAUGACUAAAUGCUUAUAAAUCUGUUCAGUCUGUUGAUAGAAUUGUUCAUUUUCCUCAAACAUUCCAUUAUAGUUAUUCUAUUCAAAGAAUUUCUUAGGAAUUUGUCUACCUUUUUGUAAUCAUUUUAACAUUUGUGAUUUUUCCCUUCUAAGAGAGCUUGUUAUAAAUAUUUAAAGGCCUUAAACAUGUACUUUCAUUUCAAAUUAUUGCGGAAUGUAUAAUUUUGUACAUUUAUUUUGUUUCAUUUGUGAUGUGAAGGGAGAAAAGAAUGGACAUUGGAUAGACACUCUGUAAUAUUGUGUAAAUGUACAGUUUGAAGAUAUGCAAAGGGAGAAUCAUCUGUGUCUCACUCAGUUUAGACUAAUAGGAAGAUACUUCUGAAACAGUCCUAUUAGAAGCUCCAUAUUGUCAGAGAGGUGUGGACACCUCACUUGUUUUUAAAACUUACUGACAUGGUCUACUAGAUUUAUGCUUAUUUCCAUGGUGGAAGCCAAUAUACCAAGAUUUUGUUCUGCUCAUUGGUAAGAACUUUAAAUGACCAAUUACAUUCCCUUAAUUUUUUUUUUUUACAUAGAAUUGAAAGUAUAAAAUUUGUUAAGAAAAUAAUAAAUUGGCAAAAGUAUACCAUAUAUUGAACUGAAGUAUACUGGUCUGCCAAGUUGGUGGAAUACAAUGAUUUCUCCUCCAUCUUCACUAUGUCCAAAAUUAACUAGAUUAUUUUGAUGGGUUUUAUAAUGGUUCAAGACUAUUUGAACAAAGAAAGUAAUUAAUAAUUGUGUUGGAGUUUCUACAUCAACUUUAAUAUUGAUUUCUUUGGAAAAAAGUGGAAAACUUAUUUUGAAUUUGUUCUCGGUUUGAAAUUAUAGGUACUGCUUCUCGUUUUUAAAACUGUGUCCUUUAAAACACUGAAAAGUCUGUAUUAUAUUCAAGUGUAAUACAUGCAUAUCAAUAGUGAAAAUAAAUGGAACUUCAAAUACA